AAGGACUAAAAUUAACAUUAUUACUCGAAUCAAUACAUGGAUCUAAAGCACUAUCUGGAUGACAUUGAUUUUGGAGGGCCUUCUCCCCUUACAGCGGCAUUCUUUUUAGCUAUCGGCUGUUUACAAAAUGGUUCAGCACAUAUGAGAAGAAAUGGUGAUUUUCGCGUUCAUCCUUGAAUAAUUCUUAUAUCUGACGGCAAACCCACGGACUUCACUUUAGUUACCGAUGCUGAUGAUCCUCUUCCAUAUGCAACUGCAAGGGAUAAAGAUCAUUUGUUACAAUUAACGAGGGGACUUGGAGAGCGUCACCCGAUCUUUUGUAUUCCUAUCGGAAAUAAUCCCGAUAUG